UACGUAGGGGGCAAGCGUUAUCCGGAUUUACUGGGUGUAAAGGGAGCGUAGACGGCAGAGCAAGUCUGAAGUGAAAGCCCGCGGCCCAACUGCGGGACUGCUUUGGAAACUGCCCGGCUAGAGUGCUGGAGAGGUAAGCGGAAUUCCUAGUGUAGCGGUGAAAUGCGUAGAUAUUAGGAGGAACACCAGUGGCGGAGGCAGCUUACUGGACAGUAACUGACGUUGAGGCUCGAAAGCGUGGGGAGCAAACAGG
rnacentral:rRNA from 1 species